rnacentral:rRNA from 1 species
UCGGGAAUUUUGGGCAAUGGGCGCAAGCCUGAUCCAGCCAUACCGCGUGAGUGAAGAAGGCCUUCGGGUUGUAAAGCUCUUUCAGACGGAAAGAAACGGUUACGGCUAAUACCCGUGACUAAUGACGGUACCGUAAGAAGAAGCACCGGCUAACUACGUGCCAGCAGCCGCGGUAAUACGUAGGGUGCGAGCGUUAAUCGGAAUUACUGGGCGUAAAGCGUGCGCAGGCGGUUUGGUAAGACAGAUGUGAAAUCCCCGGGCUUAACCUGGGAACUGCAUUUGUGACUGCCAGACUAGAGUGUAGCAGAGGGGGGUAGAAUUCCACGUGUAGCAGUGAAAUGCGUAGAUAUGUGGAGGAAUACCGAUGGCGAAGGCAGCCCCCUGGGCUAACACUGACGCUCAUGCACGAAAGUGUGGGUAUCAAACAGGAUUAGAUACCCGCGUAGUCCCUGAGCGGGCUGGCAAGGCGCAU